rnacentral:lncRNA from 1 species
CAUGACAGGAACUCCUAAACAAACGUCUAAUCACAAAUAGGUCAUCCUUCCCACAGUGCCAGGAUAAAUAUCCUUACAACUCUAACCAGUGGAUUCUCAUCAGAGUCCCAGAAAUUCUUCUAUAAUGCCUACUGAAAUGAAGCACGAUGUUGUGUUGGCUAAUUAUGAGCACUGAUUUCCUUUCUAUAUAACUUUCACAAGCGGAUUCUAGAGCACAUUCUAUCACUUCCUAGUGAUUUUUCUUAUCAGUUUGUUAAGCCAAACAAAAGUCCCUAAAAUAAAAAUUAGUACCUUUCAUAUAGACUGCUGUGAUUUUGAUUCAGCACAGUCCUAAACAAAAAAGAACUAAGUUCGUGGAAGACAGUGUUUGGCUUAACUACAAACACAUCCUUUAGCUCUAUCACAUAUAUCCAUCUGUAAAUUUCAGCAUUAUUCCCCAGUUGAGGUUUGCAAAACUGCGAAUUUAUCAGAAUCUUUCCUGAGGGGCUACUGAUUCAUGUCUAAAUUAUUUCAAAUAUUUUAAUGAUUAAAUUUCAAAUCACUAAAAUGAAUUGAAUUGUAGUAAGUCACAUUUAAACAAAAUAUGUCAAAAAAUCAUUUAAAAUAAAUUUUCUCAUAUUACAGACCUCUGUUUUUCAGUUUUUAUUUUAUACACAAUGAAGUAUUUUAUUUUUUCUUCUAAAUAAUACCAUGAGACAUGUGAAAUAUAAGUGAAAAAAACUGAAUUAUAUUUAGGUAACAAACAAUCCUCAAAUAUAAGAGGUUUAUAAUACCAAAAAUUUAUUUUUAGCUCAUAUAAAGACCACUUCAAGUCCAAACAGCUCUCAAGAGUAGCCAUGCUCCUGAGUUAGUUUAGCAUUCCCAAUAGCUUUAAACUUCUGAAACCUCUUAUCAACACAUUUUAUUUCACUAUCACCUUAGUAGGGUGAAGCGUGACCAGAAGAGUGGAAUAUCAGCAAUCAAAUGUCUCUUCCCAGAAGUGACAAAUGUCAUUUCUGCCAAUCAUCAUAUCUACCCAAAUUUCAUUGUGCAAAGAGGGUCACAUGGCCUCUCCUAACUUCAAGGAGAUGGAGACAUAAUAUGUCCUUGGUGUGACCAAAGGGAGAGAUGAACCAGAUUGAUGCUAGAGAGUUACAACAAUACAAACCAUCUAAUAUAAAGCUAUCAAGAAACUAACAUUUGUUUACAAGCUACCAAAGGCCAGAACUGACUAGCACACCUCUCUCAUUUGUUAAUUGAGGAGGUGCUCCAAAAAAGUGUUUUGGCAUAUUAUCUCUAUUUUGCAAAAGCCAACAAAUAAUAAUAAAUUAAAAAAAACCUUGUACCUCAAACCUGCCCCCAAAAGAUAGAAGGCAUUUAACUCAUGGAUUCUUAUUCCAAGGUCUGCGAUCUUUGUACACAAUCAUGUUGCCUUUGAAUAUUUCCGCAAACUUAUAAAUAAUAGAUUAAUAAGUAUUAUUGUUUAAUCACUUAAAAAAGCCGCGAAGAAAUUGUGUCUUGAAGCUAUAGAUUUCGUCUCUCUUCUUGAUAACAAGAAUUAUGAAAGUAUUAUAUGAAUUUAGUUGACUAUCACAACUAUCUGAUUCACAUGGAAUUGAGGAAAUCUCCAUAUUUUGUCUUAACUUUUUGAGUGUUCUGAAUCUUCUCUUUCAGAAGUUAUAUAAACAUCUGACUUACUGGCUAAAAAUUCAUCUUUUUGUGUAUUUCAUCCCUCAAUGGUCAUAAGAAUUAAAAAUGGAGCCCAGUUCAGCAUAAAAUGUGAAUCUAGUUACAUGAGCCUUUUUUAAAGCUCAAUGAUAAGUAAAGAGCAUUCAUACCCAUUGAAUAUCUUAUCUCAGUGUUUCAAUGCAGUUAGGAUGAUGGUCUUGCAAGAGAGAUUAUUCAACAUGCUCUAUAGAUUUUAUUUUUAAGUUGAAAAAGUAACCUGCAAUAUGGCAAGGAUAAUGGUUUCUAUAUACACUCGAAGCAGUCAGUAGCUCUAUAAAAAGCCAAGGAAUUCAUUGCCCCUUUCUUCCCAAAAUGACUAUUAUAAUUCUGUAAAAACCUGAACUGACAAUGGAUUUAGUUUGCAUAUAUUAAUAUUCACCCAAAUUGUCUAUUUUGAAUAUUAAAUAAAUAAGCAUAAGAUUUGUGCAUAUGAACAAGUUCUUUCUGAGUUGCUGAAAUUCUUGAAUAAGUCCACCAAUUGUACCUCCCUUUUUCUGCAUCAGACUAUGUCUAGGAGAGGUGAAGAAGGGAAGAAUAUGCAAAAAUUGCACACAAUAAAAUAAUAUUUCUUCAACUUUAAAACUCUGGAAGAUAACUUAUUUUAAAUAAAACAUUAAUAAAUUAGGUUUUUCUAAUUGUUUUUAUAAGCAUUGGUUUUCUAGAAAUGCUCUUGCUAAAUGUGCUCAGAAAUGAAAAAACAUUCCUAUUAAGCAUAAUUAUUAAUAUCAAAAAUCAUGAGAGAUAAAAAUAGAUAAAGAAUUUUUAAGGUGGUGAAUAUUUGUAAGGAAUUUUAGCAAACUUUCAAAUGAAUCAGGUUGAAAGAUUGUUGGCAAUUCACAAUUGAUUCAAACCAAAUAUUUGAUGUAAUGUACAGAAUAUAGCCUAUAUCCCCAGUGAAACUGGAGGAUUAAGCUUCUUCACAGACGCCUAAAGACUGAAUUAAUCAGUUAAAAUAACAUGAAAUAAAAACAAUGAGUCAUGGAAUUUUAAUAAAAAAUAUUUAAAGGAUAUAUAUAUGUGUGUGUGUGUGAAAUUUAUCAAUCAUUCUCUCAGAAUCAUUCUCUUAGAAUCAUUGAGCUGUAUGUAUUGCUAUCAUUCAUUAUGUAUUGAAUAGUUGCCAGGCAUGAUUUCUAACCUUCCCAACAACUUUGGAAGUUAACUGUUACUAUUCUCACUAACGAAUAUUACCUGACUGAGGCUCAGAAAUGUAAAUUGGUAUACAUAUGGUUGGUAGUGGAGCAGAGAUUCAAACACAUUUCUGAGUAACUCUAAUGCCCCUGUGUUUUCUGAAACAUCUCAGUCUAUUACAGAUAAUGUCCUUUCAUUAUCCAAGUCAUAUAGCCAGUUACUUUGGGUAUAUUUUAAAGUCUCCUCUUCUUCAUUCUGUUUUUAUCCCUGUAAGUCUCUUGUACCUCUCCCUUUUAUCUAUUGUCAUUGAUUCUGACCUUAUUUAGGACCCUCACUAAGUUUUGCUUUAAUGUAUUCAGACACUGUUUAACAAUUUACCCUAAAUUAUGUACUGAGGGUGAAAGAUAAUAAAGUGUCUUUCAUAACUGGUUCAAAAUUCUUCAACAUGCUUCCCUGUAAGAAUUGGGGUCUGUGUCCCCUCUUCUUAAAUUUAAGCUCCUUUACUGCUUCAUCAGUAGAGUAUAAAAGUGUCUCUGUGGUUGUCCUACUCCAGAGCUUAAGAAACUGGGAACUUCUACUUCUGUUUGAUGUUGAGAAAAGCCCUGUCACAUGGAGAGACCAUGACAAUUCUAAAGUCUCGUGUCUAUUGCAUCAACCCCAGACAUGUAAUUGAGAAAGCCUUUGAGACUCCCAUCCCAGGCUUCCAUCAAGAACCAUCCUGCUGAAGUUCCCAUCAUGGCUCAGUAGAAACAAAUCUGACUAGGAUCCAUGAAGACACAGGUUCGAUCCCUGGCCUUGCUCAGUGGGUUAAGGAUCUGGUGCUACUGUGAGCUGUGGUGUAGGUUGCAGAUAGAGCUCGGGUCCUGUGUUGCUGCGACUGUGGCUGUGGCAUAGACCAGUGCCUACAACUCCAAUUCGACCCCUAACCAUAAAUAACUGGAAUUGGUGACUAAAACUAUGGCCUUAUAAACAGUCUAGUAGAAAGUGAAAACGCAAAAUUUUAAAAAUUAAAUAGGAAUUUUUUCAUUCCUCAAAAUAAUCUUAGGAGAAAGCCCAUUACGUAGAUUAAUUGAUGGGUGGACAUUUGAGUAAGCAUAUUUUGACCACAUUGUUGGGGAGUGGGGUGCUGUUUUACUGGUCCUUCUGCAUUUUAGCUGGGAAGGAGUCCUUCUUGAGUCCCAUACACUGCUAAUUUUUUUUGGCCAUGCCUGCAGCAUAUGGAAGUUUCCAGGCUAAGGAUUUUAUCCAUGCCAUAGCAGCGACCAGGGCUGGUGUAGUGACAAUACCAGGUCCUUAACCUGCUGUGCCACAAAGGAACUCUCUAAUACUGUUUUUAAUACCAGUUACAUUAUCUUAUACUUUUUCCCCCUUACCCUUUUAGUUUUCAAAGAAAUCUACUCAGAGGAGCCAUUAAAGUAUCUGUUGUCUCUAGGUAUUUUAAUUCUCUCAGGCUAACAAUGAUGGACAGGAGAAGGAGGUUGGGAAUUCUAGGAAUGAAACCAGGUGCCACUGCAUGGAGGCCAGAUACCCGUGGAAUUUCUUCAGGCUGUGUUAUAUCUGACAGUGGGAGAAUGAGACAUUUUUCAGGAAUCUUCAAAAUACUCCAAUAUUGAUUUCAAAUAAAUUUGAGGAAAUAUUUGUCCACCUAAAUACAACUGUCUUCUAUGAUAUUGCCAUUUCCAGAAAAAAGGAGAUUUGUGUAGUAAAAAACAGAAAACAGUAUUAUGUAUUCAUAUGUAACUUCAUAAUGCUGUGACAGAAAUAUCUUAUUUUGGUCUAAUUUCUCUCUCCCAUCCAGACUGCCUCGCUGAUUUAAAAAAAAAUCACAGCACAUAUCAAAUUAACAACUAAUUCUCCUGGUGUGUUAAACAACAGAAGAUUUGUUUUUC